rnacentral:lncRNA from 1 species
UCCGGAAGCAAAUGUGUAGCCGUAAUGAUCACUAACUUAGGUUAUUGUAAUCUUGUUUCAUAAUUAUGGAGAUUAAGUUUCCUGUAACAGAUCCACCUCCGUGACGAUACAUGAAGUAGAUACAAUUAAGGAUGUUUGCUCCUCCAUUUUUUUUAAUUUUUUGCCAUAUUUUCGGAAUCCUCUGGUUUUAUCCAUGUAUUGUCAUUAAAAAAAAUACCCACUAACCCCUACUUUUCUUUUCAUAAUUUUAUUACAUACAGUUUUAACAGCCAUAUUUCAAAAUAUUAUAAAAUUCUUGUUAUUUUUUCUUAAGUCUUUGAAACAAAUAAAGUGCUAAUGUUAAAUAUAUGAAAAAUCAAGAGAGAAUUAUUUUCCGACAAAUUUUUAAUGGCUUUUAUCUCGAAAACGAGCAC